GGGGCUGUAGCUCAGCCAGGUUAGAGCGCCAGCCUGUCACGCUGGAGGUCGCGGGUUCAAGUCCCGUCAGCCCCGCCA
rnacentral:tRNA from 2 species